AGAGUUUGAUCCUGGCUCAGGAUGAANGCUAGCGGCAGGCUUAACACAUGCAAGUCGAGGGGUAUAGGUUUUCGGGCCUAGAGACCGGCGCACGGGUGCGUAACGCGUAUGCAAUCUACCUUUUACAGAGGGAUAGCCCAGAGAAAUUUGGAUUAAUACCUCAUAGUAUUAUUGAAUGGCAUCAUUUAAUAAUUAAAGUUCCAACGGUAAAAGAUGAGCAUGCGUCCCAUUAGCUAGAUGGUAAGGUAACGGCUUACCAUGGCAACGAUGGGUAGGGGUCCUGAGAGGGAGAUCCCCCACACUGGUACUGAGACACGGACCAGACUCCUACGGGAGGCAGCAGUGAGGAAUAUUGGUCAAUGGGCGCAAGCCUGAACCAGCCAUGCCGCGUGCAGGAUGACGGUCCUAUGGAUUGUAAACUGCUUUUGUACAGGAAGAAACAGUUCUACGUGUAGAACCUUGGCGGUACUGUAAGAAUAAGGAUCGGCUAACUCCGUGCCAGCCGCCGCGGUAAUUC
rnacentral:rRNA from 1 species